UUAACUCAAAUCUGUGUGAACGUUUGCCUACGUUUGCCGCUAAGGGCGCUGUUUCAACUGCAUACAAAUUUAAGUUA
rnacentral:pre_miRNA from 1 species